rnacentral:pre_miRNA from 1 species
UUCCGAGGGGGAGAAGUUAUUGCGAUUAUGAACAAUUAAACCAUAAGCGUAUAGCUUUUCCCCUUUGGCG